rnacentral:rRNA from 1 species
GAGGAAAAGAAACCAACAGGGAUUGCCCUAGUAACGGCGAGUGAAGCGGCAACAGCUCAAAUUUGAAAUCUGGCUCCUUUGGUGCCCGAGUUGUAAUUUGCAGAGGGUGCUUUGGUGUUGGCUGUGGUCCAAGUUCCCUGGAACAGGACGUCACAGAGGGUGAGAACCCCGUACGUGGCCGCCAGUCUUCGCCGUGUAAAGCCCCUUCGACGAGUCGAGUUGUUUGGGAAUGCAGCUCUAAAUGGGAGGUAAAUUCCUUCUAAAGCUAAAUAUUGGCCAGAGACCGAUAGCGCACAAGUAGAGUGAUCGAAAGAUGAAAAGCACUUUGGAAAGAGAGUGAAAUAGCACGUGAAAUUGUUGAAAGGGAAGCGCUUGGAGCCAGACGUGCCCGUAGUUGCUCAGCCGGGGUUCUCCCCGGUGCACUCUUCUGCGGGCAGGCCAGCAUCAGUUUGGGCGGUUGGACAAAGGCCUGCUAAACGUACCUCCCCCCGGGGAGGACUUAUAGGGUAGGCGGCAUACGACCAGCCCGGACUGAGGACCGCGCAUCUGCUAGGAUGCUGGCGUAAUGGCUGUAAGCGGCCCGUCUUGAAACACGGACCAAGGAGUCUAACAUCUAUGCGAGUGUUUGGGUGUCAAGCCCGAGCGCGCAAUGAAAGUGAACGCAGGUGGGAGCCUCUCGGGGCGCACCAUCGACCGAUCCUGAUGUCUUCGGAAGGAUUUGAGUAAGAGCAUAGCUGUUGGGACCCGAAAGAUGGUGAACUAUGCCUGAAUAGGGUGAAGCCAGAGGAAACUCUGGUGGAGGCUCGCAGCGGUUCUGACGUGCAAAUCGAUCGUCAAAUUUGGGCAUAGGGGCGAAAGACUAAUCGAACUAUCUAGUAGCUGGU